GACGUAGGGCGCGAGCGUUGUCCGGAUUUACUGGGCGUAAAGAGCGCGCAGGCGGCUGGUCAAGUCCGAUGUGAAAGCUCCCGGCUUAACUGGGAAAUUGCAUCGGAAACUGAUCGGCUGGAAGGUGGGAGAGGGUAGCGGAAUUCCCGGUGUAGUGGUGAAAUGCGUAGAUAUCGGGAGGAACACCAGUGGCGAAAGCGGCUACCUGGCCCAUUCUUGACGCUGAGGCGCGAAAGCUAGGGGAGCAAACGGG
rnacentral:rRNA from 1 species